GACGAACCGUGCGAACGUUGUUCGGAAUCACUGGGCUCAAAGGGCGCGUAGGCGGGCCUCCAAGUCCGGGGUGAAAUCCUCCAGCCUAACUGGAGAAGAGCCUCGGAGACUGGGGGCCUCGAGGGAGGUAGGGGCGUGCGGAACUAUGGGUGGAGCGGUGAAAUGCAUUGAUAUCCAUAGGAACUCCGGUGGCGAAGGCGGCACGCUGGACCUCUUCUGACGCUGAGGCGCGAAAGCCAGGGGAGCAAACGGG
rnacentral:rRNA from 1 species